AACGAAUGCUGGCGGCAGGCCUAACACAUGCAAGUCGAGCGCCCCGCAAGGGGAGCGGCGGACGGGUGAGUAACGCGUGGGAACGUGCCCUUUGCUACGGAAUAGCCCCGGGAAACUGGGAGUAAUACCGUAUAAGCCCUACGGGGGAAAGAUUUAUCGGCAAAGGAUCGGCCCGCGUUGGAUUAGGUAGUUGGUGGGGUAAUGGCCUACCAAGACGACGAUCCAUAGCUGGUUUGAGAGGAUGAUCAGCCACACUGGGACUGAGACACGGCCCAGACUCCUACGGGAGGCAGCAGUGGGGAAUCUUAGACAAUGGGCGCAAGCCUGAUCUAGCCAUGCCGCGUGGGCGAUGAAGGCCUUAGGGUUGUAAAGCUCUUUCGUGGGGGAAGAUAAUGACUGUACCCCAAGAAGAAGCCCCGGCUAACUCCGUGCCAGCCGCCGCGGUAA
rnacentral:rRNA from 1 species